rnacentral:pre_miRNA from 1 species
UGGACAGAUUAUUCUAUUCGACUGUAUUCACGGCGUGAAAUAGAGGAAUUACAAUGUUUUAAAACGGAAAGUGAAUCAAUUAAUAUAAUAGACUCCU